rnacentral:rRNA from 1 species
UACAGAGGUCUCAAGCGUUGUUCGGAUUCAUUGGGCGUAAAGGGUGCGUAGGCGGCGAGGUAAGUCGGAUGUGAAAUCCCGGGGCUCAACCCUGGAACUGCAUUCGAUACUGCCUUGCUCGAGGACUCGAGAGGAGAUUGGAAUUCACGGUGUAGCAGUGAAAUGCGUAGAUAUCGGGAGGAACACCAGUGGCGAAGGCGGCGAUCUGGGAAGAUACUGACGCUGAGGUGCGAAAGCGUGGGGAGCAAACAGG